rnacentral:rRNA from 1 species
CCUACGGGAGGCAGCAGUGGGGAAUUUUGGACAAUGGGCGCAAGCCUGAUCCAGCCAUGCCGCGUGCAGGAUGAAGGCUUCGGGUUGUAAACUGCUUUUGUACGGAACGAAAAAGCUCUCUCUAAUACAGGGGGUGAAUGACGGUACCGUAAGAAUAAGCACCGGCUAACUACGUGCCAGCAGCCGCGGUAAU